GGGGAUAUAGCUCAGUGGCGCAGUGCCUGCCUGGCAAGCAUUAAGUCCUGAGUUGGAUUCUCAGUACCCCCU
rnacentral:tRNA from 1 species